rnacentral:misc_RNA from 1 species
GGCGAUUGGAAAGUCUCCCACCCUGCAUAUGCAAAUUUCAUUGUCAGUCUCAAGUCAUCAAAACACCCCUCUAGCCUAUCUUAUUCCUAAGCAAAAAGAUCCAGCAACCUCCAAACAUAGAAUAUUUAUUGCAUCUUAGUAGAUAUGUGGUUAACAAGCCACAGAUAAGCUGUAUCUAACCCACAUGUUUUCACAAAUUUGCAACACAAACUUAGCUCUUCUAUAUAUCUUAUAAUUUAAUAUACAAACUAGUCAACUUGCAUUCUAAAACCAAAUACACUCCGCAUCAUGUUUGAUUCCAACACAAACCCUCAUCAGUCAUAAUUACAUUGCAUUUCUUAACAAUCACUCUGGAAAUCAUAAUUUGAAAGACUAGCACCUCUAGCACCCAAAGGCGGGCACUUUUACUCAGGGGUGUGCCUUUUGGCUAGGGCACACCCAUCAGAUGGCGCAAGGUAUGCACCUAGGCAUGCCUUUGAUACAUUUAUGCAUUUUUUUAGAUAUUAUGAAGAUCAAAUCUGACACAGCAUGUAGCGCAGAAAAUAAUCGACACACGAUUAAACACUUAAAAACAAACAAGAUCUAAUUCAAGAUCUUAAGAUAAAUACAAGACUAAUCUAAAGUCUAGGAUAAAAUAAAGUAAACUAGUUUUAUAAUUAAGAAAACUCUAUUGAAUGAAUCUGAAAAACUUUUACAUAAUGAACAUACAAUAGGUAUUUAUAGAAUUCUAAAUUCUAAUUUAGGUAGGAAUGAAUUAGAGAGUUCUAAUCUAAAUAGAAAAUAUAUUU